rnacentral:rRNA from 1 species
UACACUCCUGCGGGAGGCAGCAGUGGGGAAUUUUGGCCAAUGGGCGAAAGCCUGAUCCAGCAAUGCCGCGUGUGUGAAGAAGGCCUUCGGGUUGUAAAGCACUUUUGUCCGGAAAGAAAUCCUUGGCUCUAAUACAGUCGGGGGAUGACGGUACCGGAAGAAUAAGCACCGGCUAACUACGUGCCAGCAGCCGCGGUAAUACGUAGGGUGCGAGCGUUAAUCGGAAUUACUGGGCGUAAAGCGUGCGCAGGCGGUUUGCUAAGACCGAUGUGAAAUCCCCGGGCUCAACCUGGGAACUGCAUUGGUGACUGGCAGGCUAGAGUAUGGCAGAGGGGGGUAGAAUUCCACGUGUAGCAGUGAAAUGCGUAGAGAUGUGGAGGAAUACCGAUGGCGAAGGCAGCCCCCUGGGCCAAUACUGACGCUCAUGCACGAAAGCGUGGGGAGCAAACAGGAUUAGAAACCCGUGUAGUCCCAUGA